rnacentral:rRNA from 1 species
UACGUAGGGUGCAAGCGUUGUCCGGAAUUAUUGGGCGUAAAGAGCUCGUAGGCGGUUUGUCGCGUCUGCUGUGAAAACCCGGGGCUUAACCCUGGGCUUGCAGUGGAUACGGGCAGACUAGAGUUCGGUAGGGGAGACUGGAAUUCCUGGUGUAGCGGUGAAAUGCGCAGAUAUCAGGAGGAACACCGGUGGCGAAGGCGGGUCUCUGGGCCGAUACUGACGCUGAGGAGCGAAAGCGUGGGGAGCGAACAGG